UGGCUUUGUUUACAGCUGAAACAAAU
rnacentral:piRNA from 1 species